ACUCAAAGGAAUUGACGGGGACCCGCACAAGCAGCGGAGCAUGUGGUUUAAUUCGAAGCAACGCGAAGAACCUUACCAGGGCUUGACAUCCCCCUGAAAGCUAAGUAACGUUAGCCGCCUUCGGGCAGGGGAGACAGGUGGUGCAUGGUUGUCGUCAGCUCGUGUCGUGAGAUGUUGGGUUAAGUCCCGCAACGAGCGCAACCCUUGUCAUUAGUUGCCAUCAUUAAGUUGGGCACUCUAAUGAGACUGCCGGGGAUAACUCGGAGGAAGGUGGGGAUGACGUCAAAUCAUCAUGCCCCUUAUGUCCUGGGCUACACACGUGCUACAAUGGCCGGUACAACGAGACGCAAAGCUGUGAAGCGGAGCAAAUCUCAAAAGCCGGUCCCAGUUCGGAUUGCAGGCUGAAACCCGCCUGCAUGAAGCCGGAGUUGCUAGUAAUCGCAGAUCAGAAUGCUGCGGUGAAUGCGUUCCCGGGUCUUGUACACACCGCCCGU
rnacentral:rRNA from 1 species